GCGGCACGCCUAACACAUGCAAGUCGAACGAAGUAGCAAUACUUAGUGGCAGACGGGUGAGUAACAUGUGGGUAUCUGCCCUUUGGCCUGGAAUAACACGAGGAAACUUGUGCUAAUACCGGAUAAGUCUUUACGGAGAAAGCUUUAUGCACCAUUGGAUGAGCCCGCACUUGAUUAGUUAGUUGGUAGGGUAAUGGCCUACCAAGACUGUGAUCAAUAGCUGAUUUGAGAGGAUGAUCAGCCACAUUGGGACUGAGACACGGCCCAAACUCCUACGGGAGGCAGCAGUGGGGAAUCUUGCACAAUGGAGGAAACUCUGAUGCAGCGAUGCCGCGUGAGUGAAGAAGGCCCUUGGGUUGUAAAGCUCUUUCGUCGGGGAAGAAAAUGACUGUACCCGAAUAAGAAGGUCCGGCUAACUUCGUGCCAGCAGCCGCGGUAAUACGAAGGGACCUAGCGUAGUUCGGAAUUACUGGGCUUAAAGAGUUCGUAGGUGGUUGAAAAAGUUGGUGGUGAAAUCCCAGAGCUUAACUCUGGAACUGCCAUCAAAACUUUUCAGCUAGAGUAUGAUAGAGGAAAGCAGAAUUUCUAGUGUAGAGGUGAAAUUCGUAGAUAUUAGAAAGAAUACCGAUUGCGAAGGCAGCUUUCUGGAUCAUUACUGACACUGAGGAACGAAAGCAUGGGUAGCGAAGAGGAUUAGAUACCCUCGUAGUCCAUGCCGUAAACGAUGUGUGUUAGACGUUGGAAAUUUAUUUUCAGUGUCGCAGCGAAAGCGAUAAACACACCGCCUGGGGAGUACGACCGCAAGGUUAAAACUCAAAUGAAUUGACGGGGACCCGCACAAGUAGUGGAGCAUGUGGUUUAAUUCGAAGAUACGCGCAGAACCUUACCAACACUUGACAUGU
rnacentral:rRNA from 1 species